UGGCGGCAGGCCUAACACAUGCAAGUCGAGCGGUAGCACAGGAGAGCUUGCUCUCUGGGUGACGAGCGGCGGACGGGUGAGUAAUGUCUGGGAAACUGCCUGAUGGAGGGGGAUAACUACUGGAAACGGUAGCUAAUACCGCAUAACGUCUUCGGACCAAAGUGGGGGACCUUCGGGCCUCACGCCAUCAGAUGUGCCCAGAUGGGAUUAGCUAGUAGGUGGGGUAAUGGCUCACCUAGGCGACGAUCCCUAGCUGGUCUGAGAGGAUGACCAGCCACACUGGAACUGAGACACGGUCCAGACUCCUACGGGAGGCAGCAGUGGGGAAUAUUGCACAAUGGGCGCAAGCCUGAUGCAGCCAUGCCGCGUGUGUGAAGAAGGCCUUCGGGUUGUAAAGCACUUUCAGCGAGGAGGAAGGGUAGUGUGUUAAUAGCACAUUGCAUUGACGUUACUCGCAGAAGAAGCACCGGCUAACUCCGUGCCAGCAGCCGCGGUAAUACGGAGGGUGCAAGCGUUAAUCGGAAUUACUGGGCGUAAAGCGCACGCAGGCGGUUUGUUAAGUCAGAUGUGAAAUCCCCGCGCUUAACGUGGGAACUGCAUUUGAAACUGGCAAGCUAGAGUCUUGUAGAGGGGGGUAGAAUUCCAGGU
rnacentral:rRNA from 1 species